UAUCCAUGAGCCAUUGGGACAAACCCCAACUGACCCGAACUCAGGAAAUAAACUGAACGACUCAAAGUAAAUAAGGAAAUCUGAAUAACUAGUUCUCGGACCAUGAAGACUCACCACUGCAGAGGAUGUAGAUCAAUGUGCUCGGAUAAUCACUGUCAAACCUGGGAAUGAGCACCUGAACCUACAUUAUAGGAAAAAUGUAGCCCACAUGCGAACAUGUGGGUCAGUAC
rnacentral:lncRNA from 1 species